AUUGAACGCUGGCGGCAGGCCUAACACAUGCAAGUCGAACGUGUGGCGGACAGGUGAGUAAUGUCUGGGAAACUGCCCGUUGGAGGAGGCUAACUACUGGAAACGGUAGAUAAUACCGAAUACAAUCGGAAGUGCGCAGAUGGGAUUAGCGUGUAGGUUGGGUACAGGCUCACCAAGGCGACGAGCCCUAGCUGGUCUGAGAAGAUGACCAGCCAAAAUGGAACGGUGACACGGUCAAGACGCCUAAGGGAGGAAGGAGUGGGGAAUAUUGCACAAUGGGCGCAAGGAUGAGUCAGCGAUGCCGCGUGUAUGAAGAAUGCCUUCGGAUUGGAAAGUACUUUCAGCGGGGAGGAGUGACGCGCAGAAGAAGCACCGGCUAACUCAGUGCCAGGAGCCGCGGUAAUUC
rnacentral:rRNA from 1 species